UUGUAAUUGGAAUGAUAGAAAUUUAAACACUUUUUAAAGUAUCAAUUGGAGGGCAAGUCUGGUGCCAGCAGCCGCGGUAAUUCCAGCUCCAAUAGCGUAUAUUAAAAUUGUUGCAGUUAAAAAGCUCGUAGUUGAAUUUCUGCUAAAAAUAACCGGUCUGCUUUUAAUAAAGGUGGUAUCUUGGUGUGUUUUUAGCAAUAAUGUCCUUUGAAAUGUUUUUUACUUCAUUGUAAGAAAUUAUAUUCAGGAUUUUUACUUUGAGAAAAUUAGAGUGUUUCUAGCAGGCUAACGCUUUGAAUACUGCAGCAUGGAAUAAUAAAAUAGGAUUUUGGUUCUACAUUAUUGGUUUUAAGAGCUAAAUUAAUGAUUGAUAGGGACAGUUGGGGGCAUUUGUAUUUAACUGUCAGAGGUGAAAUUCUUAGAUUUGUUAAAGACAAACUACUGCGAAAGCAUUUGCCAAAGAUGUUUUCAUUAAUCAAGAACGAAAGUUAGGGGAUCGAAGACGAUCAGAUACCGUCGUAGUCUUAACUAUAAACUAUGCCGACUAGAGAUUGGAGGUCG
rnacentral:rRNA from 1 species